rnacentral:rRNA from 1 species
GAUGAACGCUGGCGGCGUGCCUAAUACAUGCAAGUCGAGCGAACGGACGAGAAGCUUGCUUCUCUGAUGUUAGCGGCGGACGGGUGAGUAACACGUGGAUAACCUACCUAUAAGACUGGGAUAACUUCGGGAAACCGGAGCUAAUACCGGAUAAUAUUUUGAACCGCAUGGUUCAAAAGUGAAAGACGGUCUUGCUGUCACUUAUAGAUGGAUCCGCGCUGCAUUAGCUAGUUGGUAAGGUAACGGCUUACCAAGGCAACGAUGCAUAGCCGACCUGAGAGGGUGAUCGGCCACACUGGAACUGAGACACGGUCCAGACUCCUACGGGAGGCAGCAGUAGGGAAUCUUCCGCAAUGGGCGAAAGCCUGACGGAGCAACGCCGCGUGAGUGAUGAAGGUCUUCGGAUCGUAAAACUCUGUUAUUAGGGAAGAACAUAUGUGUAAGUAACUGUGCACAUCUUGACGGUACCUAAUCAGAAAGCCACGGCUAACUACGUGCCAGCAGCCGCGGUAAUACGUAGGUGGCAAGCGUUAUCCGGAAUUAUUGGGUGUAAAGCGCGCGUAGGCGGUUUUUUUAAGUCUGAUGUGAAAGCCCACGGCUCAUCCGUGGAGGGUCAUUGGAAACUGGAAAACUUGAGUGCAGAAGAGGAAAGUGGAAUUCCAUGUGUAGCGGUGAAAUGCGCAGAGAUAUGGAGGAACACCAGUGGCGAAGGCGACUUUCUGGUCUGUAACUGACGCUGAUGUGCGAAAGCGUGGGGAUCAAACAGGAUUAGAUACCCUGGUAGUCCACGCCGUAAACGAUGAGUGCUAAGUGUUAGGGGGUUUCCGCCCCUUAGUGCUGCAGCUAACGCAUUAAGCACUCCGCCUGGGGAGUACGACCGCAAGGUUGAAACUCAAAGGAAUUGACGGGGACCCGCACAAGCGGUGGAGCAUGUGGUUUAAUUCGAAGCAACGCGAAGAACCUUACCAAAUCUUGACAUCCUUUGACAACUCUAGAGAUAGAGCUUUCCCCUUCGGGGGACAAAGUGACAGGUGGUGCAUGGUUGUCGUCAGCUCGUGUCGUGAGAUGUUGGGUUAAGUCCCGCAACGAGCGCAACCCUUAAGCUUAGUUGCCAUCAUUAAGUUGGGCACUCUAAGUUGACUGCCGGUGACAAACCGGAGGAAGGUGGGGAUGACGUCAAAUCAUCAUGCCCCUUAUGAUUUGGGCUACACACGUGCUACAAUGGACAAUACAAAGGGCAGCGAAACCGUGAGGUCAAGCAAAUCCCAUAAAGUUGUUCUCAGUUCGGAUUGUAGUCUGCAACUCGACUACAUGAAGCUGGAAUCGCUAGUAAUCGUAGAUCAGCAUGCUACGGUGAAUACGUUCCCGGGUCU